rnacentral:rRNA from 1 species
AGGACGAACGCUGGCGGCGUGCUUAACGCAUGCAAGUCGAGCGGAAAGGCCCUUCGGGGUACUCGAGCGGCGAACGGGUGAGUAACACGUGAGUAAUCUGCCCCUAGCUCUGGGAUAGCUCCGGGAAACCGGGAUUAAUACCGGAUACGACCACUUUAGACAUCUGUUGUGGUGGAAAGAAUUUUGGCUAGGGAUGAGCUCGCGGCCUAUCAGCUUGUUGGUGGGGUAACGGCCUACCAAGGCGACGACGGGUA